rnacentral:rRNA from 1 species
AAGUCUGACCGAGCAACGCCGCGUGAGUGAAGAAGGUUUUCGGAUCGUAAAACUCUGUUGUUAGAGAAGAACAAGGAUGAGAGUAACUGUUCAUCCCUUGACGGUAUCUAACCAGAAAGCCACGGCUAACUACGUGCCAGCAGCCGCGGUAAUACGUAGGUGGCAAGCGUUGUCCGGAUUUAUUGGGCGUAAAGCGAGCGCAGGCGGUUUCUUAAGUCUGAUGUGAAAGCCCCCGGCUCAACCGGGGAGGGUCAUUGGAAACUGGGAGACUUGAGUGCAGAAGAGGAGAGUGGAAUUCCAUGUGUAGCGGUGAAAUGCGUAGAUAUAUGGAGGAACACCAGUGGCGAAGGCGGCUCUCUGGUCUGUAACUGACGCUGAGGCUCGAAAGCGUGGGGAGCAAACAGGAUUAGAUACCCUGGUAGUCCACGCCGUAAACGAUGAGUGCUAAGUGUUGGAGGGUUUCCGCCCUUCAGUGCUGCAGCUAACGCAUUAAGCACUCCGCCUGGGGAGUACGACCGCAAGGUUGAAACUCA